GUCGGACGGCAGCACAGAGAAGCUUGCUUCUUGGGUGGCGAGUGGCGAACGGGUGAGUAACAUAUCGGAACGUACCGAGCAGUGGGGGAUAACUAAUCGAAAGAUUAGCUAAUACCGCAUAUAUUCUGAGGAAGAAAGCAGGGGACCAUUUGGCCUUGCGCUGUUUGAGCGGCCGAUAUCUGAUUAGCUAGUUGGUGGGGUAAAGGCCUACCAAGGCGACGAUCAGUAGCGGGUCUGAGAGGAUGAUCCGCCACACUGGGACUGAGACACGGCCCAGACUCCUACGGGAGGCAGCAGUGGGGAAUUUUGGACAAUGGGCGCAAGCCUGAUCCAGCCAUGCCGCGUGUCUGAAGAAGGCCUUCGGGUUGUAAAGGACUUUUGUCAGGGAAGAAAAGGAUAGGGUUAAUACCCCUGUCUGAUGACGGUACCUGAAGAAUAAGCACCGGCUAACUACGUGCCAGCAGCCGCGGUAAUACGUAGGGUGCGAGCGUUAAUCGGAAUUACUGGGCGUAAAGCGGGCGCAGACGGUUACUUAAGCAGGAUGUGAAAUCCCCGGGCUCAACCUGGGAACUGCGUUCUGAACUGGGUGACUAGAGUGUGUCAGAGGGAGGUAGAAUUCCACGUGUAGCAGUGAUAUGCGUAGAGAUGUGGAGGAAUACCGAUGGCGAAGGCA
rnacentral:rRNA from 1 species